GACGAACGCUGGCGGCGUGCUUAACACAUGCAAGUCGAGCGGUAAGGCCCUUUCGGGGGUACACGAGCGGCGAACGGGUGAGUAACACGUGGGUGACCUGCCCUCAGCUCUGGGAUAAGCCUGGGAAACCGGGUCUAAUACUGGAUAUGACUCCAUGACGCAUGUUGUGGGGUGGAAAGCCUUGUGCGGCUGAGGAUGGGCCCGCGGCCUAUCAGCUUGUUGGUGGGGUGAUGGCCUACCAAGGCGACGACGGGUAGCCGGCCUGAGAGGGCGACCGGCCACACUGGGACUGAGACACGGCCCAGACUCCUACGGGAGGCAGCAGUGGGGAAUCUUGCACAAUGGGCGAAAGCCUGACGCAGCGACGCCGCGUGAGGGAUGACGGCCU
rnacentral:rRNA from 1 species